UACAGAGGGUGCAAGCGUUAAUCGGAAUUACUGGGCGUAAAGCGUGCGUAGACGGUUACAUAAGUCGGGUGUGAAAGCCCCGGGCUCAACCUGGGAAUUGCAUUCGAGACUGCGUAGCUAGGGGUGCGGAAGAGGGAAGCGGAAUUUCCGGUGUAGCGGUGAAAUGCGUAGAGAUCGGAAAGAACACCAACGGCGAAAGCACUCUGCGUGGGCCGACACUGACACUGAGAGACGAAAGCUAGGGGAGCGAAUGGG
rnacentral:rRNA from 1 species